rnacentral:misc_RNA from 1 species
GAUGAAGAACGUAGCGAAAUGCGAUAAGUAGUGUGAAUUGCAGAAUUCAGUGAAUCAUCGAAUCUUUGAACGCACAUUGUGCCCCUUGGUAUUCCAUGGGGCAUGCCUGUUCGAGCGUCAUUUGUACCUUCAAGCUUUGCUUGGUGUUGGGUGUUUGUCUCGCCUCCGCGUGUAGACUCGCCUCAAAACAAUUGGCAGCCGGCGUAUUGAUUUCGGAGCGCAGUACAUCUCGCGCUUUGCACUCACAACGACGACGUCCAAAAGUACAUUUUUACACUCUUGACCUCGGAUCAGGUAGGGAUACCCGCUGAACUUAAGCAUAUCAAUAAGCGGAGGA